rnacentral:rRNA from 1 species
AACGAACGCUGGCGGCAUGCCUAACACAUGCAAGUCGAACGAGACCUUCGGGUCUAGUGGCGCACGGGUGCGUAACGCGUGGGAACCUGCCCUUAGGUUCGGAAUAACUCCCCGAAAGGGGUGCUAAUACCGGAUAAUGUCUUCGGACCAAAGAUUUAUCGCCUUUGGAUGGGCCCGCGUUGCAUUAGCUAGUUGGUAGGGUAAAAGCCUACCAAGGCGACGAUCCAUAGCUGGUCUGAGAGGAUGGUCAGCCACACUGGGACUGAGACACGGCCCAGACUCCUACGGGAGGCAGCAGUGGGGAAUAUUGGACAAUGGGCGAAAGCCUGAUCCAGCAAUGCCGCGUGAGUGAUGAAGGCCUUAGGGUUGUAAAGCUCUUUUACCCGGGAUGAUAAUGACAGUACCGGGAGAAUAAGCUCCGGCUAACUCCGUG